ACAAUGGAGAGUUUGAUCCUGGCUCAGGAUGAACGCUAGCGGCAGGCCUAACACAUGCAAGUCGAGGGGCAUCACGAGGUAGCAAUACUUUGGUGGCGACCGGCGCACGGGUGCGUAACGCGUAUGUAACCUACCUAUAACAGGGGCAUAACACUGAGAAAUUGGUACUAAUUCCCCAUAAUAUUCGGAGAGGCAUCUCUCCGGGUUGAAAACUCCGGUGGUUAUAGAUGGACAUGCGUUGUAUUAGCUAGUUGGUGAGGUAACGGCUCACCAAGGCAACGAUACAUAGGGGGACUGAGAGGUUAACCCCCCACACUGGUACUGAGACACGGACCAGACUCCUACGGGAGGCAGCAGUGAGGAAUAUUGGUCAAUGGACGCAAGUCUGAACCAGCCAUGCCGCGUGCAGGAUGAAGGUGCUAUGCAUUGUAAACUGCUUUUGUACGAGGGUAAAUUCAGAUACGUGUAUCUGUUUGAAAGUAUCGUACGAAUAAGGAUCGGCUAACUCCGUGCCAGCAGCCGCGGUAAUACGGAGGAUCCGAGCGUUAUCCGGAUUUAUUGGGUUUAAAGGGUGCGUAGGCGGUUUGAUAAGUUAGAGGUGAAAGCUCGAUGCUCAACAUCGAAAUUGCCUCUGAUACUGUCAGACUAGAGUGUAGUUGCGGAAGGCGGAAUGUGUGGUGUAGCGGUGAAAUGCUUAGAUAUCACACAGAACACCGAUUGCGAAGGCAGCUUUCCAAGCUAUUACUGACGCUGAGGCACGAAAGCGUGGGUAGCGAACAGGAUUAGAUACCCUGGUAGUCCACGCCGUAAACGAUGAUAACUCGUUGCCGGCGAUAUAGUGUCGGUGACUAAGCGAAAGCGAUAAGUUAUCCACCUGGGGAGUACGUUCGCAAGAAUGAAACUCAAAGGAAUUGACGGGGGCCCGCACAAGCGGAGGAACAUGUGGUUUAAUUCGAUGAUACGCGAGGAACCUUACCCGGGCUUGAAUUGCAGCCGAACGAUCCAGAGAUGGUGAGGCCCUUCGGGGCGGCUGUGAAGGUGCUGCAUGGUUGUCGUCAGCUCGUGCCGUGAGGUGUCGGCUUAAGUGCCAUAACGAGCGCAACCCCUCUCCCCAGUUGCCAUCGGGUAAUGCCGGGCACUCCGGGGACACUGCCACCGUAAGGUGCGAGGAAGGUGGGGAUGACGUCAAAUCAGCACGGCCCUUACGUCCGGGGCUACACACGUGUUACAAUGGCCGGUACAGAGAGCCGGGUCUGCGCAAGCAGUCUCCAAUCCCAAAAGCCGGCCUCAGUUCGGACUGGGGUCUGCAACCCGACCCCACGAAGCUGGAUUCGCUAGUAAUCGCGCAUCAGCCAUGGCGCGGUGAAUACGUUCCCGGGCCUUGUACACACCGCCCGUCAAGCCAUGGGAGCCGGGGGUACCUGAAGUCCGUAACCGCAAGGAUCGGCCUAGGGUAAAACUGGUGACUGGGGCUAAGUCGUAACAAGGUAGCCGUACCGGAAGGUGCGGCUGGAACACCUCCUUU
rnacentral:rRNA from 1 species